AAGAAGACAAACGGACGUAGUCGAACGAAUCCUCACAACUCUGGAACGGAACCAAAGCUAAUGAGAGAAGCAAACCAGAAAUAAGCAAGCAACAUGGUAAACACACAAGCAAAACAUGGCAUGAUGCAUGUGCGGUUUAAAUAUGCAUAGCAUGGCUAAGUGCACAAACAAAACUACAAGUUAAGUGGAGCUCAAUAUGCAAUGAGUUGCAUAUUGACGAAACAACACAUUCGAUUAUUUAGUUCUCUCCCGUGUAUGCACCCAACAAUAUUAAAUGUUAUUUAAACAUGGCAAUGGGUGAAGCAUAAAAAAACUAUCUAUUUAGGCAAGUUUAAAUGAGGCUAGAAAUAACAAACAAUAAUUCCGGUAAAUCCUCAUAUGCAUUUAGCAAUUUAAUGCAAACACCAAUUUAAACAUUUUAAAAAUUGUUAGCAUGAUGCGAAUGACAUACAAGUUUUAUGCAAUUUUUAUGAAAAUGUUGACAUGAGCAUAUCAUGAAGCAUUUGUAACCGUGGUGGAAAGGAAGUGUGCCACGGCAACGAACCCGAAAAUGAUGCCACGACAACAUAUCGGUUCCAGUAACUCGACUGAGAUACCGAUGGCAAAAGAAAGGGCGUGAGCGAGUUGGGAAAGAUGGUGGGGUGUUCCCGGAUUCCGGGUGUCCCAUGAGUUAGUGGCAAGGCAAACGAGGAACGUGCAAGCGACAACUCGGACACGGGGCAACCACGACAUCUCAUACAACACAAGCAUUCGUUCACGGGCGUCGUCUCGCGGUAUACCUUUGAAGCGUGCAUUUUCGAAGUGGAUCGAAUUCGUCGAGGGAAUUAGUCGUUCAAGGCCGUCGUGGAAGUAGUGGUUGACGCGAUGGUAGUUGAACUUGACGCUUGCGUUACAUGAGUGUUCGGCGACGGUAGUCGUACAUGGUUCGGAGUGGUACUUGCGUCUUCGGACUUGUCGAUCUCGACUCUUGCGACAGUAGCUGUACACAUAGUCGUAGUGUUCGGGUCAUCGGUAGAGAUACUAGACGCAUCACCGGGUCUAGUCGUACAAGAGGGUCUUGACGAAUCCGAAGGGGUAGUUGGCAACCCAAAAUUACUCCUAUUCGAGGAGGUCUCCGUCUUGGUUUUCGCCGAUCGUGGGAAGUAGCGGUACAUGUCUCAGAGAGGAACUUGGCGCGCCCAAAAUGUUCGGGUAUCAUCCUGGGACUUGGCGGUGUCAGUCUCCUCAGGUAAAACAUGAUGUGCAAGGGCCAGAGUGACCGGCAGCUUGGGUGGCUCCUCAAGGCCAUGGCGAUGACAGGCCGCAGGAGGCUUCUAGAGGAGGCCGAGCCACGGCGAGGUGGUCCUGCUUCAUUGGCUGCAAGUGGUGGGCGAACGCAAGCAGCAACAAGGCUUUGGGCGCGAGGGAGAAGGAGCCGGCGCGUGGGAAGGAGAAGCAGGGGAAGUCAACGCGGGGCCGCGGCACGGACAUGACGGGCAAAGGGGCUCUGGAUCGAGCUCCUCUCGCCCUAGAGCAUGGUCGCGUGCGCGGUACAGAGGUGGACACCCAGUGAGGACGGCUACUUGGGCCUCCAUGGUGGUGCGACACGAGGAAGGAGAGGCCCGGGCGACGACAGCGCCAUGGGGACGAAGCAGGAGGGGAGAAGAGGGGCGCGUCGGGGUGGCCGAGGACGGCAGUUCGGCGUUGACUAGAGUAGGGGAAGGAGAGGGAGGUGCGGCGCUCAACUGCUGGUUUGAUGAGGACGGCACAGAGGAGAUCGGGCGUGGGGUCGAGGUGAGGAGGAGAAGCAGGAGGGCGAGGGGCGGCGAUGAAGGCUUACAAGGGGGCGGGGAGGCAGUGAGACAGCUCGGUGAUGACCUCGCGCAUGGAGGAUGGCGGCGGAUCGGGAGGUCCUCCUGAUCGGGACGAGGAUGAGGGGUUGGAGGAGAAAGGUUCGAGGGGAGAUGGCGACGCUGCGGGAGAAAAUGGAGGGGGAGUGGG
rnacentral:lncRNA from 1 species